UUGAAAAUGAGCUACUUUGAAGAAUAAAUAGAAAAUUUCUGCAUUCUGAAAAAUGACUGUGCUUUAUGCAUACAAGUUGCAUACAGAAGGAAGUAAGCUGUGGUGGAAGACGCACAAGAUAUUUGUUCUGUUUUGUUUACAAAGCGUUAAUCUCAGUGUUUAAGGUUCUCUGAUCACUUGCUUUGUUGGGUGCCCUUCAGAUUUAUGAAGAUAUUCAUAAAAU